ensembl:lncRNA
UGUGGAUGCAUCUCAAGAAGAUGGGUCAUUAGGCAGACUUGUCAACGACAACCACAUCAGUCCAAGUGCUAAGAUGAAAAUAUUAAAUAUCAAUGGAAAGCCCCAUCUAUGCUUAUUUGCAAGCAGAGACAUAAGUCCAGGCGAAGAAAUAGACUAUAAUUAUGGUGACUCGGAUUGGCUCUGGAGAUGCAAGACUGAGACCAGCCAGAUUCAGAAGACUGUGAGCUGCCUAAAGCCGCAACCAAACAGCUUUCCAAACAAUGAUCUGGACCUGAAACAUCCAGAGCCUGAAAGGGAUCUUGAUGAAGAAAUGCCUCAGCAAGGCUCAGAAGCCAUGCAUUCUUCUUCAGUGCAAGAUUUUGAAGAGACUGAGACCAGCCAGAUUCAGAAGACUGUGAGCUGCCUAAAGCCGCAACCAAACAGCUUUCCAAACAAUGAUCUGGACCUGAAACAUCCAGAGCCUGAAAGGUGUCACAAUCAUCGUCUGGUGUGCACAACAAUAUCAUCUUUGGACAAGUGCAUUCAGUGUGUGGGACUGGUUUCCUCCCUCAAGUGGCUUGGCUAUAAGUGCAAAGAUGAAAUUGCAUUAAGUGAUGCUGAAACAAAGGACAGUGAGAGUGAAUCAGAUGAUGAUGACACAUCACUCACAAUGUCGGCGUGUGGCACCAGUGAGCCUGUACAUGCAGUAGCUGAUUCCACAAACACAGCGCAGCCCCAAGACACUGUAGAUUGUGCAGAUGAAGGACUACUCACAAUGCCUGCAGCAAGUGAGACUGCUGCUCCCUCUGAAGAGAAAAAUGCUGCUCAAUCCCACAAUUCCCGAAGAGCUCCCAAAAACAUGUGGUCCAAGGCUGAGGUUGCUGCAGUGAUGAGGCAUUUGAAAGACCACAUAAACGAAGGGAAACUAGCCACCAAAAAUGAAUGCAGUCAUUGCAAAUUGGUAGAAGAUCCGGUGUUGGCAGGAAGAACAGUUCAAAACAUAAGAGAUUUUGUAAGAAACAGAGGAUUAACUGCAAAAAGGCAGAAAAAAAUGAACUAAAAUAACUGUUUAGAGAGCUGUGGUUUUACAUCUUGGUCAGAUUGCCAAUUGUUGUUAACACUGAUGUUCUGUUUAAAGAAAAAAAAGUUCUUGUUAAAUACAGAAGUAGUUUGUAUUUCAUAAUUUUUACAUUUAAUUUAUUUAGGGUUUUUUUUGACGGGUUAUAUUUAAAAUAAAAAAUUAUAAAUGCAUAUUUUCUCCCCUUAAUAUUUACCUUUAAACUAUUAAAAUUCAUUUUAAAUGUUUUUAAUUUUUCUGUUUUCUAUAUUUUUAUAUUUCUGUGGGAAGCGUGGGCAUUUUUGUCCAUAGAUUUCUUUUUUUAUUUAUGGUUAAAAUUAAUGUUCAGAUCCAAGAACACUAAUAAAAUGAUGUUCCAGUAAUCCUGUGUCCUGUCAGAUGUGUAUUCAUGGUAAUGAUGAGCUAUUUAAAUAUUACAUCAUUGUCCCUUUAAAGACCCAAUAUUGCUUUUUUUGGACCUCAUAAAACACAUUGUUGUCAAGUGGACAAUGUCUCCAGAAAACACAAUAGAGUCUGGUUGGUGUGUAUCAGUGUAUCUAGACUUCUAUAGGGAGUGUAUGAGGUCUGAAGUGACCCAAAUUUUUUUCAGAUUUUUUCGAACACUUUAACCUCGCUCCCUUGGCUCUAAGUCCUUUCAAAAGGGUAGUCCACUUAAACCACCACCGGGCGGAUUGACGUAGUAUAGUCCCGCCAUACCACAUAGACCCGUAUGUGUGUGUGUGUGUGUGUGUGUGACAGAGUUCAGUGAGACCAUGGAGGAGAAGAGGGGAGAGGGGGCAGAAUCGGGAGGGAGUUAAGCUUCCUGACAGCCUGAUGGAUGAAGCUGUCCUUCAGUCUGCUGGUCCUGGCCUGGAGACUCCGCAGUCUCCUCCCCGACGGCAGCAGCUUGAAGAAGCUUUGCAUUGGGUGCGUGGGAUUAGCCGCU